rnacentral:rRNA from 1 species
GGAGUACGACCGCAAGGUUGAAACUCAAAGGAAUUGACGGGGGCCCGCACAAGCAGUGGAGUAUGUGGUUUAAUUCGAAGCAACGCGAAGAACCUUACCAGGUCUUGACAUCGGAUGCAUACCUAAGAGAUUAGGGAAGUCCUUCGGGACAUCCAGACAGGUGGUGCAUGGUUGUCGUCAGCUCGUGUCGUGAGAUGUUGGGUUAAGUCCCGCAACGAGCGCAACCCUUAUCGUUAGUUACUACGCAAGAGGACUCUAGCGAGACUGCCGUUGACAAAACGGAGGAAGGUGGGGAUGACGUCAAAUCAUCAUGCCCUUUAUGACCUGGGCUACACACGUACUACAAUGGCUAUUAACAGAGAGAAGCGAUACCGCGAGGUGGAGCAAACCUCACAAAAAUAGUCUCAGUUCGGAUCGCAGGCUGCAACCCGCCUGCGUGAAGCCGGAAUUGCUAGUAAUCGCGGAUCAGCAUGCCGCGGUGAAUACGUUCCCGGGCCUUGUACACACCGCCCGUCACACCAUGAGAGCCGGGGGGACCCGAAGUCGGUAGUCUAACCGUAAGGAGGACGCCGCCGAAGGUAAAACUGGUGAUUGGGGUG